UUAACUGAAUCCAUAGGUUAAUGAGGCGAACCGGGGGAACUGAAACAUCUAAGUACCCCGAGGAAAAGAAAUCAACCGAGAUUCCCCCAGUAGCGGCGAGCGAACGGGGAGCAGCCCAGAGCCUGAAUCAGUGUGUGUGUUAGUGGAAGCGUCUGGAAAGGCGCGCGAUACAGGGUGACAGCCCCGUACACAAAAAUGCACAUGCUGUGAGCUCGAUGAGUAG
rnacentral:rRNA from 1 species